GUGCUACUUUGGCAGCACAUAUACUAAAAUUGGCAUGACAUGGAGAAGAAGCAUGCUCCCUGUGAAAGGAUGACACACAAAUUCAUAAAGCAUUCCAUAUUUUA
ensembl:snRNA U6 U6 spliceosomal RNA